GAUAACCACUCUGUUGUCCUGUUCUGCAAUUAUAGAAACCUUGUACAUGAUUUUCAUUUUCCAUUUGGAUACAUAAAAAGGGAAGAGGGUGUGGGUUUUUUUGUAUUUUUUUUUUAUGAACUAGGUAUGGAGAAUGUUUUGACCUUCCUCCGUAUGAUUAUCUAUCAAUUUAUGUACAUUUUUUUUGGCAGAUUAAACGAAGGUAAGAACUCACCAUGUAAAUAAUAUCGCAAGGAAU
rnacentral:misc_RNA from 1 species